CCCGCUUGCUCGCACGGAAGCGCCGCCAUGGACCCGCCCCUGCCAUCGUCGACCGCCCCGGCCCCGGCCAGCACCACCCUCGGCCACGCCAACCCAACCCCAAGAAGAGUGCGUCCGCAUCCAAGAUGAUCCACAUGGGCAAGAUUCAGAUAAACUGGAGUCUGAUAGUGAUGAUUGUCAAGAAGUGGCUGCCCUCAGCUAGUAGCCAAAUUUCUUCAUAUAGUAUCAAGGCUAAAAAGAUGAAGUUCAAGUUGGGGUCAGUUUUUCUUGUACCCUUUUGGACAAACUAAACUAAUUAGUGUUGUGAUGAUACUAGUGAGUGCUUUGGAAUGUGUGCACUCGAUAAAACUAAGGUAAUAGUAGGUUACUAGGUUCUAUUAAUUUCCUAUGUUGAUUUGGCUGUGAGCCACAUUUUUGUGAUGCAAACUUAUAUGUACAUGCUAGCUAAAUAACACACUUGUUCUUUGAGUAGUUAAACUUGAUUAGGAUAAAACCCUAAACCCUAAACAUAUUUGACUAAAAUUGUUUGGACUUUUUCUUUGAGUAGUUAAACUUGAUUAGCAUAAAGGAAUUGAAUCUGAGCUUAGUAUUUAACAUUGACAUUGAGAUGUAAUGAUUCACUGAUGCAAUUUAGACUUCCACGAAGGGUAUGUAGUACUAUUUAUCUUGAGUUGUUGUGGACCUCAUUAUCUUGCAACUCAUGUUUCAUGACUAAUAAUUAUUUCUUAUUUGGUGCAGGAUCCC